UUGAAAAACCUUUAAUGUGAUAAUAUUUAUGAAAAUGUAUGUUAUAAAUGAGGAUCUGAAUGAGGUUAAUAAAAGGGAGAUUAAUUGGUCACUAAAAGCAGUGAAGAGUUAAGGAAGCUGGCUUGUCAUGUUUUAGAUUUUUUGUCAGAUUUUCGGAAUCCUUUGGUUUUAUCCAUUUGAAUGCCUUAAAAAAAAAUCCCCGGUGAUCCCCACUUUUCUUUUUGUAAAUCUUUUACAUGUACAUGUAUAAUGAUAAGCCAUCUGUAAAGGUUUAAUAAAAUUUUAAAUACUUUUUAACAGUUUUUGAGAACUUCAACUUGUCAAUGAUAAAGCUAUGAAAAGUCAAGGGAGAAUAUCUUUCCGCCAGAAUUUUGAUGGCUAAUAUCUCGAAAACAAGCACGGUGACCUAAAUAUUUUUUUUGCUCUUUGGAUUCCUUUAUUAAUCCCCGAACUCCCUUAAAUGGGCCAAACAUAUUAUAAAUAGACAAUAAUAAAAAUGUAAUGCUGGAAUAUAAAUAACAGAGAAUAAUGAUUAUCAUGACUUUUAUGGGCCAAAAAUCAGAAAAAGAGAAAAAUGCCCUGAAAAUAAAAAAAUACAUAGAUGAAGACAUUUUCACCUGAACCCUCACAGAUGUGCUGUUCUUUGUUUCUACAGAUUUGUUAGUACUUUUAAAAAUAAGUAUUGCUAUAUUUGAUUUUUAUGUUAAACUUGCAUUUAAGGGUACUAAUAUUUCUGUUUUACUUUUAAUUGACCAAGACAUUUGUAAUAAUAACUGUAUGCUCCUCUGAUUGUCCCUAUGGCAUAACAUGGUUUUAUAUUAUUUUACUUUUAAAGGGUAAUUUUACCUAGAAUGUGGAAUGCAAGGACCAAUAGUUUAGGUCUAUUGAUACUUCACUAGGGACCAACAUCAGUUGGACCUCAUUUACAUGUUUAUUCCUAAUCCAUCAUUCAUUAGUAUUGGUAAAAAUGUCAAAUAAAUAAAAUAUUAUGGUAUAAAAGAAACCUUAUAUUAAGUACAAUAUUUACAAUCAUGUUGCACUGAUAACUUGGAAAGAUCUAAUAAUCAAAACAUAGUACAUUUUUUUCAGAAAGGUUAACCUUAUUAUUUGGUCAAAUUGGAUAACGCAGGGAAGGCAUUUUAGAAUGUUCACCCUUGUUUACUUGUUCAGUUACUUAUUUUUUUAAUAAUAUUUGAUCUGUUCAUUGAUAUUUUUUUUAAUCCCAUUUUAAAGAAUUUUCACAGGCUUUGGUUAGGGACCACCUUUUUCUUGGGUAAAUACACACUCAUUUAAUGUGAUUGAUCUUAUUCCAAUGGUAUUACAAUAUCAGUAGUACAUAAUCCUGCCCCUUUAUUUGUAUUUUCCCCCUAACAAAAAAGGACAGUCAAAUCAUCCAUUUUUAUAAGAAUUCUGAAAAGCAGAAAUUGAAGUUUACAUUGGAUUCUAAGUAACUGCUUAUUCUAGACAAACUUCUCUACUUUAUUGCUCUGUCUCUCUAAACUCCUGAGUUUCUU
rnacentral:lncRNA from 1 species